rnacentral:rRNA from 1 species
ACACUCCUGCGGGAGGCAGCAGUGGGGAAUUUUGGACAAUGGGCGAAAGCCUGAUCCAGCAAUGCCGCGUGAGUGAAGAAGGCCUUCGGGUUGUAAAGCUCUUUUGUCAGGGAAGAAACGGUGAGAGCUAAUAUCUUUUGCUAAUGACGGUACCUGAAGAAUAAGCACCGGCUAACUACGUGCCAGCAGCCGCGGUAAUACGUAGGGUGCAAGCGUUAAUCGGAAUUACUGGGCGUAAAGCGUGCGCAGGCGGUUUUGUAAGUCUGAUGUGAAAUCCCCGGGCUCAACCUGGGAAUUGCAUUGGAGACUGCAAGGCUAGAAUCUGGCAGAGGGGGGUAGAAUUCCACGUGUAGCAGUGAAAUGCGUAGAUAUGUGGAGGAACACCGAUGGCGAAGGCAGCCCCCUGGGUCAAGAUUGACGCUCAUGCACGAAAGCGUGGGGAGCAAAUAGGAUUAGAUACCCGGGUAGUCCCAUGA